UCAGACAUGGUGUUGUGGUGACACAGCCUCUUCAAAUACGACUGUAUACUGAGUGGUAUUGGGGCAUUCCGGGGUUCGAUUCCCUGUGUCUGAA